CCGAGGAGUCCUGGCCGUUCGCGAGUCGUAGGGGCCCCCCUGUCGAACCCCGGAGGCGUAGCGAAAGCGAGAGAGCGUGUCGGAGGGCACCGGAUUGGGAGAGGUGUUUCGGCGAAGUUGUUUAGGGUUGGUCGGUCGGGGGGUUGGGGAUUCGUCUCUUUCUCUUUGGCCUUCCUCUUCCGGCUUCCGAGCCGUGCCCGAUCCCGCUGGCGCGACGAGUUCCUUAAACUUUCCGUCGUCCACCCCGCGUGCGCUGUUAUCGCCGUCGUCUUCGGAUUUUCCCUUCGUGGGAGAUGAUGUUUGUGGCGGCGGCGGGCGUACGUGUCGGGUUGCGCACGGCGGCGUCACCUUCCUCCGUCCGCCCGACGGUGAGAUCCCGCGGCUUGAACCAGUACAAUUUUGUUCGUCGAGUUUAGGCACUGCACGCGGGCGCAUCACCCCCGGGUCGGAUUCCGAGUACGACUCGGCCGACUCUGGCGUAGCGAGCGGCCAGGGACCCGAAAGAUGGCGAUCCACGCCCGGUCGGGAUGAAGCCAGAGGAAACUCUGGUGGAAGUCCGAAGCGCCUCUGACGUGCAAAUCGAUCGUCGGAACCGGGUGUAGGGGCGAAAGACCAAUCGAGCCGUCUA
rnacentral:rRNA from 2 species